rnacentral:rRNA from 1 species
GUGGGGGUGCAAGCGUUAAUCGGAAUUACUGGGCGUAAAGCGUGCGCAGGCGGUUUUGUAAGACAGUGGUGAAUUCCCCCGGGGGCUCAACCUGGGAACUGCCAUUGUGACUGCAAGGCUGGAGUGCGGCAGAGGGGGAUGGAAUUCCGCGUGUAGCAGUGAAAUGCGUAGAUAUGCGGAGGAACACCGAUGGCGAAGGCAAUCCCCUGGGCCUGCACUGACGCUCAUGCACGAAAGCGUGGGGAGCAAACAGGAUUAGAUACCCUGGUAGUCCACGCCCUAAACGAUGUCAACUGGUUGUUGGGAAUUUAUUUUCUCAGUAACGAAGCUAACGCGUGAAGUUGACCGCCUGGGGAGUACGGCCGCAAGGUUA